AUGUAUGGUAAAUUGGAAGAGAAAUGUUUUGACCUCAAGAAUAGACAUUCAAAUAUGAAUUACACCUUGUGAGCUUUUGGCAACUUCGUGUCUCUUGUUCUGUUCUUAGUGGCAAUGAAGUUUUGUUAAUGAUACCAAAACUCAGGAUCCAAAGCAUCUUUAAGAGUGACUGACACACACUAUCUGCCUGGAAUCCCGUUGCCUGGAGACCACUCUUGAAGAACAUCUACUGCUGUGGCCUCUUGGAGAUUUAAGACAUCUAAUGAGGAGCUGACAGAAAUCAUCAGCUUGCUCCAAGCUUCACCUGGGACCUAGAAGAUCUCUCCCGCUUCCCUUUUGGUCUGGCAGGAACUUCU